ACCCUGUUAGCUCAGUUGGAAGAGUGCUGGACUUUUAAUCCAAGGGCCGUGGGUUCGAGUCCCGCACAGGGUG
rfam:chromosome VII of strain GB-M1 of Encephalitozoon cuniculi (Microspora)